AUGAUUGACUUUCCAUAACAAUAUGUUUGGAAUAAUUGUUAAAAUUAUAUAACUCUAUUGAAUUCCAGUGUUUGAAAUAAUUAAAAAGUGUAUUGAUUUUACGGUACUUUUGUUAAUAAUAAGACAGUCUUCUUUAAGGGUAUCUUUAGGUUUCAGUGAUAAGACUUCCUAAAUCAAAUGAAUUGAAUUAUUUUAAAUUAUUCUAUUUUUGGGAUGAUUUCCAAUUCUUGCAAAAUGCCUUUUUGUGACUUCUUAAGAAUUGAACUUUAUCACUUAAAAAGAGCUUUCCAAACAUGAAAUUAAACGAAUUUGAUCUUGCGUUUUAAUGGUUUACGAGUACAUUUUUUAGGAAAGGGGGAAAAUAUAAAUAAUAAAAGAACUUGAGGAAAAUCAAAAGCAAAAAA
rnacentral:misc_RNA from 1 species